rnacentral:rRNA from 1 species
GGUGAGUAACGCGUAAGGAACUUGCCUCUUGGUCUGGGACAACUGUUGGAAACGACAGCUAAUACCGGAUAUUAUGAGAUUCUCGCAUGGGAAACUUAUGAAAGCUAUAUGCGCCAAGAGAGAGCCUUGCGUUCCAUUAGCUAGUUGGUGGGGUAACGGCCCACCAAGGCGACGAUGGAUAGCCGGCCUGAGAGGGUGAACGGCCACAAGGGGACUGAGACACGGCCCUUACUCCUACGGGAGGCAGCAGUGGGGAAUAUUGGACAAUGGGCCACAAGCCUGAUCCAGCAAUUCUGUGUGCACGAUGAAGGUCUUCGGAUUGUAAAGUGCUUUCAGUUGGGAAGAAGAAAGUGACGGUACCAACAGAAGAAGCGACGGCUAAAUACGUGCCAGCAGCCGCGGUAAUACGUAUGUCGCAAGCGUUAUCCGGAUUUAUUGGGCGUAAAGCGCGUCUAGGCGGAAAAAUAAGUCUGAUGUUAAAAUGCGGGGCUCAACUCCGUAUUGCGUUGGAAACUGUUUUUCUAGAGUACUGGAGAGGUGGGCGGAACUAC